CCUACGGGCGGCAGCAGUGAGGAAUAUUGGUCAAUGGACGAGAGUCUGAACCAGCCAAGUAGCGUGAAGGAUGACUGCCCUAUGGGUUGUAAACUUCUUUUAUAUGGGAAUAAAAUGUUCCACGUGUGGGAUUUUGUAUGUACCAUAUGAAUAAGGAUCGGCUAACUCCGUGCCAGCAGCCGCGGUAAUACGGAGGAUCCGAGCGUUAUCCGGAUUUAUUGGGUUUAAAGGGAGCGUAGGUGGAUUGUUAAGUCAGUUGUGAAAGUUUGCGGCUCAACCGUAAAAUUGCAGUUGAAACUGGCAGUCUUGAGUACAGUAGAGGUGGGCGGAAGUCGUGGUGUAGCGGUGAAAUGCUUAGAUAUCACGAAGAACUCCGAUGGCGAAGGCAGUUCACUGGACUGCAACUGACACUGAGGCGCGAAAGUGUGGGUAUCAAACAGGAUUAGAUACCCCUGUAGUC
rnacentral:rRNA from 1 species